GAGGAAGGAGUUGCGGCCGAGAUCGGACACCGGAGGGCUCGCUGUUUUUGUUGCGUAGAGUAAGGCCGAUCUCUGGCCACCAUGCCGGGCAGGUGACUGCAGCGUCCUUGUAGGCAGGCUGGCUGGAGUGUCGGGCUUCAGUGGAUGUGGCGGGGAACCGUAGUAGAGGUGUAUGAGUUCUUUCAAAGCAGAACGCUGUUGUUUCCAUGUUCUGAUCUUUCAGAGAUUAUGAAGGCACAAUUCCUGCCUUUGAUUUGCUUAGUCAAGUGGAGUAGACACAGGUCAAUGGUGGCAGCCACUUAAAUAUUCUAAAGGAGAUUUAUCAACAGGUUGCAGGUGAACAUGGCCUUGAGGGAGACAGAGCACAGGGAGAUAAAUUCUGGGGUCAUAAGGCAAAAUAACAAUUGAUCCCAGGUAUUCUGAUUUCCAGUCUGGUUCUCUUUACAUUACAGGACAGUUCCUAGAAUCAGUUGCAACUAAUGUUUUCUUUUUUUCCUCAGAUCUGUCCCCCCCCGACCAAGCAUGCACACAGUGGAAGCACCUUAUUAUUCUUUGCGUGUGGGCUGCUGGGUGACACCAGGAAGCACGCAGUCAUAGGUUGUGUUGCAUUUUUCCUAAUCUUGCCAUCAAGCCACAGAUGCCCUCCUGUUCCUUUGUACUCCUCCCCUCCAAGUUUUUCCAUCUCCUGGCCAUAGGUCUUUUGCUAUAGUUUGAAAGAGCCCUGCCACCCCUCACACAGAGAGCAGUGAGAGGCCGAAGAGCAGUGGUGGGAUGAGGAAGAUGUGCGUUUAUUCAACACUUAGUGUGCCCUUGGGGCACAUGUUAGCCCUUGGGGACUGAGUGAUGAACAAGACAGACACUGUCCUACCUUCGUGGAAUUUGUCAAGGUCAUUUCAAAAUUAGAGGGAGUAAGUACUGUGAAGGAGAGAACGGGUGGGUGGAAAGAGUGUUCAGUGGGCAAAACCUUACUAGAGUGCCAUGACUAUUGAGAAAACAGGAGAGGCCACAUGACUGCCUGGUGGGUGGCCUCUGGCCUCCUCAGGUCUGUUCUUGGCUGACUAGUGAAAUGUCACGAGUGUGCUGGGGUGGCUGGAGCCACUAACACUUACACAUCUCCUCCCUCCUUCUUCCCCACGUGCCAUAGGCCUUGGAGACUCAGAUAUGUUGCAUAUACACAAAUAGACCAGUACAAUCUGAUAGCCUGAAAGACCUUUGAGUUUGUUCAGUCUGAGUCUUCAUUUUACAGCCGGGCCUGGAACUGACUGACCCAGCAUCACAUGGGUGGUAGUUCUCAGGAUCCAGGUCAGGUGACCUGAGUGCCAGCACCCCAGCCUGCCAGGUCACAACAGGAGCCAUAAAUGAUGCUGCGUGCGUGGGGCUUGAAUGCCAGGUUCAGACGGCUGAGGUGUGAGUGGCUGGGUACAGGAGAGACGGGAAGCUGGGCAUCAGAACAGUCUAAUAGAAGGUGACAUGCUUUGGCAUUGAAAUGCCGUUGUGUAUCUUGAGACACCCAGGCUUUUCCAGAGAAAAACAGGGAUGCACAAAUUGACGAAGCUGACAACUGAAAGUGUACAGAUGCUGAGAAAUGUCCACGUUGAAAAAUGACAGUUUUGAAUUUUCAUAGUCUAAUAGAAUGCCAAUCUUCCUCGGGGAAACCGUUAUUCUUAUAUCUGGAGUCGUCUUGUUGUGUAGAAAUUCAUACUUAUGCCUGAAGAUUAAAUGUUGAUAUUACAAAGCUUCAGAAAUUGUGUAGAUGGGCCAGUUACAGAACAUUUCAAUUUUCAAGUACUCUUACAACUAUUUUCUUUUAUUAAAAGACGAUCAAAGUAA